rnacentral:rRNA from 1 species
AACGAACGCUGGCGGCAUGCCUAACACAUGCAAGUCGAACGAGAUCUUCGGGUCUAGUGGCGCACGGGUGCGUAACGCGUGGGAAUCUGCCCUUUGGUUCGGAAUAACAGUUGGAAACGACUGCUAAUACCGGAUGAUGACGAAAGUCCAAAGAUUUAUCGCCAGAGGAUGAGCCCGCGUAGGAUUAGCUAGUUGGUGUGGUAAAGGCGCACCAAGGCGACGAUCCUUAGCUGGUCUGAGAGGAUGAUCAGCCACACUGGGACGGAGACACGGCCCAGACUCCUGCGGGAGGCAGCAGUGGGGAAUAUUGGACAAUGGGCGAAAGCCUGAUCCAGCAAUGCCGCGUGAGUGAUGAAGACCUUAGGGUUGUAAAGCGCUUUUACCCGGGAUGAUAAUGACAGUACCGGGAGAAUAAGCUCCGGCUAACUCCGUGCCAGCCGCCGCGGUAA